rnacentral:rRNA from 1 species
GGGCCCGCACAAGCGGUGGAGCAUGUGGUUUAAUUCGAUGAUACGCGAGGAACCUUACCAGGGCUUAAAUGUAGGUUGCAUGAUCUAGAGAUAGAUCUUUCUUCGGACUACCUACAAGGUGCUGCAUGGUUGUCGUCAGCUCGUGCCGUGAGGUGUCAGGUUAAGUCCUAUAACGAGCGCAACCCCUGUCGUUAGUUACCAGCAAUUAAAGUUGGGUACUCUAGCGAGACUGCCGGUGCAAACCGUGAGGAAGGUGGGGAUGACGUCAAAUCAUCACGGCCCUUACGUCCUGGGCUACACACGUGCUACAAUGGCCGGUACAGAGAGCAGCCACUACGCGAGUAGGAGCGAAUCUUCAAAGCCGGUCUCAGUUCGGAUCGCAGUCUGCAACUCGACUGCGUGAAGCUGGAAUCGCUAGUAAUCGGAUAUC